rnacentral:rRNA from 1 species
GUACUCAGUUCGGAUUGUAGUCUGCAACUCGACUACAUGAAGCUGGAAUCGCUAGUAAUCGCGAAUCAGAAUGUCGCGGUGAAUACGUUCCCGGGUCUUGUACACACCGCCCGUCACACCAUGGGAGUCGGAAAUGCCCGAAGUCUGUGACCCAACCUUAGGGAGGGAGCAGCCGAAGGCAGGUCGGAUGACUGGGGUGAAGUCGUAACAAGGUAAC